ensembl:lncRNA
CCUGCCUGUGACGCCUCACUGUAAAAAUCCUGCCAGGCAAAUUGUCCAACCCGGAUCCCAUUCAGUCCUUUGAGAACAUGAAGAUAAAACCAAAACCACCUUGAACCACAAGGAGGUGGAUGACGCCAAGAGAUGUUGUGGCCCCUUGCCAGAUGGGGUCAAGGAAGACUGCCCAGUAGAGUUAGAGAAUGGUGAUUCUGACGCAAAAACUUUGGGCGUUCUUGGCUCCAUGGCCUUUGAAUAGAGAACAGAUCUGUUCCCUGGC